AAAGGUAGCGUAAUCACUAGUUUUUUAAUUGAAAGCUUGUAUGAAUGGUUGAACGAGGUGAAGACUGUCUUUAUUUAAUUUAUAUUAGAAUUUAACUUUUAAGUGAAAAGGCUUAAAUUUAUGUAAUAGACGAGAAGACCCUAUAGAUCUUUAUAAUAUAAUUUAUAAUCAAAUUUAGGUUGGGUUAAGGUUAUGAGUUACAAUUAUUUUAUUGGGGUAAUAUAAAGAUUAAAUGAAUUUUUUGAAUUUUAAAACAAUGAUAAUUGAUUGAGUGAUCCAUUAGUAUUGAUUGCAAGAUUAAGUUACCUUAGGGAUAACAGCGUAAUUUUUUUUGAGAGUUCAUAUCGAUAAAAAAGU
rnacentral:rRNA from 1 species